GAUGAACGCUGACAGAAUGCUUAACACAUGCAAGUCAACUUGAACUUCGGUUUGGGUGGCGGACGGGUGAGUAACGCGUAAAGAACUUGCCUCACAGAUAGGGACAACAUUUGGAAACGAAUGCUAAUACCUGAUAUUAUGAUUUUAGGGCAUCCUAGGAUUAUGAAAGCUAUAUGCGCUGUGAGAGAGCUUUGCGUCCCAUUAGCUAGUUGGAGAGGUAACGGCUCACCAAGGCGAUGAUGGGUAGCCGGCCUGAGAGGGUGAUCGGCCACAAGGGGACUGAGACACGGCCCUUACUCCUACGGGAGGCAGCAGUGGGGAAUAUUGGACAAUGGACCAAGAGUCUGAUCCAGCAAUUCUGUGUGCACGAUGAAGUUUUUCGGAAUGUAAAGUGCUUUCAGUUGGGAAGAAAAAAAUGACGGUACCAACAGAAGAGGUGACGGCUAAAUACGUG
rnacentral:rRNA from 1 species